CCUACGGGAGGCAGCAGUGGGGAAUUUUGGACAAUGGGCGCAAGCCUGAUCCAGCAAUGCCGCGUGAGUGAAGAAGGCCUUCGGGUUGUAAAGCUCUUUUGUCAGGGAAGAAACGGUCUACUCUAAUACAGUGGGCUAAUGACGGUACCUGAAGAAUAAGCACCGGCUAACUACGUGCCAGCAGCCGCGGUAAUACGUAGGGUGCAAGCGUUAAUCGGAAUUACUGGGCGUAAAGCGUGCGCAGGCGGUUAUAUAAGUCAGAUGUGAAAUCCCCGGGCCCAACCUGGGAACUGCAUUUGAGACUGUAUGGCUAGAGUGUGUCAGAGGGGGGUAGAAUUCCACGUGUAGCAGUGAAAUGCGUAGAUAUGUGGAGGAAUACCGAUGGCGAAGGCAGCCCCCUGGGAUAACACUGACGCUCAUGCACGAAAGCGUGGGGAGCAAACAGGAUUAGAUACCCUGGUAGUCCACGCCCUAAACGAUGUCUACUAGUUGUCGGGACUUAAUUGUCUUGGUAACGCAGCUAACGCGUGAAGUAGACCGCCUGGGGAGUACGGUCGCAAGNUUAAAACUUAAAGGAAUUGACGG
rnacentral:rRNA from 1 species